rnacentral:rRNA from 1 species
UACGUAGGUGGCAAGCGUUGUCCGGAAUUAUUGGGCGUAAAGCGCGCGCAGGCGGUCCUUUAAGUCUGAUGUGAAAGCCCACGGCUCAACCGUGGAAGGUCAUUGGAAACUGGGGGACUUGAGUGCAGAAGAGGAAAGUGGAAUUCCAAGUGUAGCGGUGAAAUGCGUAGAGAUUAGGAAGAACACGUGGCGAAGCGACUUACUGGACUGUAACUGACGCUGAGGCAAUGAAAGGCGUGGGGGAGCAAACAGG